UCACCACCACUGAUCGUAUCUUCCGCCUCCUCCAGUAACCUCGGCCGAAGGGAAGGCGAAACCGACGGUUCGAGGCGCGCAACCACUCAGGGAGAGAGAUAGGGAGAUGUAGAGAGGGAGAGAGACAGUCUCCCGUCGAUGGUUGGGGCUCCACGUCCGCCGGUACCUUUUCGUCUUCUACGGUGUGGAUCGAAAGGGGGAACGGAGGACGGGAAAGAGAAGUCGAGUAAAUAAAUGUACACGUUUAAGAGAAAAUAGAUACGGACGUUCCACAAACUACUUUCAAGUCAUUCCGAAACUCCCUUAUGGUUUGUUCUCUCCUAGGUCAUAGACAUUGUACGUAGUCCAACUGUGGUUGAAGUACGUAAAACGAAGUUCUAGUAACAAUUAAAUUAAGUUUUACAAAAGAGUAAGAUAACCUUCUAUCUUUCCUACCAACAUCUUUCUAUUGACAAGAUGAACCUAUGGAAAGAAACAAGAGCAAACGUAAAUUCAUUUUUACAAGUUGACGUCUAUAUCUAACGGCCGCCCACCUAUAUAACGAGUUUUCUACAGUGAUCACGACAUGACGACAUCUACGGUAACUAAAGUAUAUAGUUUCGUAAUGUCGAGAAAGUCUAGGAAACAUAAAGGUGAAUCAAUCGAACUUUUAGAACAGAUGAUGCCUGUGGAGAACUUUUAACGUUUCCUCAAGAUUGAGGGUUGUUCGAAUAAAGGAAUUUUUUACAUUGACCAUGUUACAAGAUGCAUGGAAUACUCUCCAGUCGGGGCCGUAGUGUCAGGUAAGGACUUCUUCAAGUGUACGUACCACAACUAACAACUCAAACGAACCAAUUGCCUUACUGUACGGAUACGUCUAGUCGUCCCCCUUCCAGGUCCCACUUUGGAAGUCCUCCCUAAACUACAACGAUAACAAAGUCAAACGUCUAUCUCCUACACUAAGGUCGUUCUGUCUCUGCUACCGCUACUGUUCACUCUAAAUACAAUUCCUCAUAAUCGUAUACGAGUGUCCUAGUGACCUUCAAAUAUUUACAUAGGCGUUACUAACAACGAAAGAAUAACUGUGUAUUAACUUAAUAUUAAUAUCUGUCAUUCUCAUCAACAGAAAAGUAAACAAUCUUUUGUAUCACAUGGAAAUAUUAGCAUCAAUAUACGUUACUAGGUAGUACAUAAAAACAAAUUUUGACGUUGGGCAUUAACAAACUACAGUAAUUUACAGAGAGAGAGAGAGAGAGAUAUAUAUAUAUAUAUAUAUAUAUAUAUAUAUCAAAUGCAAGAAUUUAAUCGGAGGUAUGAUAGACGUAACAGUACCAUUGGAACCAUCCAGUAUUAUACAUCUAGGUAUUAGGGCCAAGUUAAACUCGAAAGGUACACUAAAAAAUGGACUUAUAAUCCUAGUGUUGAAUUAAUUGAAUUUAAUCGUCAUAUCACAGUUACCUGCAGUAGACUUCGAUUAUUCUACAACAAAUAACUUCUUGUCGGGGAACGAUGAACGUGUCAUGUACUUUUCGUGUGAUUUAUCUAAUUUCUUUAGUAUGAACUGACACUAACGUAAACCAACUACGAAUGCACAUAAAGAGUACCCAUAUGGUUCCCCCGUUAGAAGAUAUAAAGUCCAGGUUUCGAAAGUUACGUAAAAAAAUAGACAAAAAGUACAGGGUUACUAGUAGACGUUCAGGCUUAAUACGGUAACAACUACCACGUGUCCAUACAACGUACCACUUGGGUCAUAACCGGGAGGAAAGUUCGAGGACACAAGUAGGAUCUAUUUUAAGACCUUUUAUGCAGCCUUGAUAGAAAAUUAGAAGGUUGUCACAUAACGAUACUAAUAUAUAUACCUAUGUAGUAUAGCUACACAGAUCUCUGGAUUUCGGAAUUCUCAAUUCACGGUUUGACCCCUGACUAUAAUAUUGACGUCUACCCGAAAUAAGUCCAUAAAAGAACGGUAUUUACUACUACAAACGUCUACCCGAAACAAGUCAGUAUUCUCGAAUAGUCAAGUCGGACGUAUGAAAACAAAGAAGUCACAUGACACAGACUCCUUUCGUAAAUAAAACAGAGGACAAAUUCACUUAAGUACCGAUUCUACCUGCUUAAAGAUAAUACACCCGACCUCCAAGAACUCAAUCCCGUGAUCGUGAUCGAUUCGAAGGUAAGACCAUUUUACAUACUGUACGAACUACUCGUACGUAUAGAUAUACCAAAACACCUGUGACUAAAUCAAGGUACGAUCAAAUAAAGGUCGUCAACCAGACGAAGAAGUAUCUCUAAAAUAAUCAUGAUUUAAUUUAAUCUUUGACUUACACACGAAGAAAGUGGAAGUCAGACUUGUACUGUAACGGAAUAAACACUGUGUCCACCUUUAAUCGUUCGUUCUAUGUCAGCCACGUACCUACUGGUUCUAAUGAAUAAUGAAAUACUUCUACUACUAAGGACGUACAACUAACACGAAGUUCCCAUCUUCUCCUACCCUCCUCCCCUGUGCGCGAGAUAUAAAACAAUACGUGUGGAAAGAUUUGAUAUGAACAGAAGAAUUGUGUACAAGUAACAGGUCAUCUUCGACAUCUAAAGUCGCAUGUUAUUAAAGGUUUUACCGUCUUCCAGAGACGCGGUAAACCGGUAAACCAGAAAGAGGACAGCGGUCGCGAAGAAGAAGAGCAGACAGGACGACGAUUGGGUUGUACGAAGACGAACGACGGAGCCCAACAUGCUAGAGAAGACAGCGACGCAGCAAGCUGAGUAGUUCCUGUUGCCACUCUUCCCCGAGAACUCCGCCGACGUGAGCCAGGGGGGGACGUCGGUGUGUGGUGUAGCAGGCUGGUACAACCACUUUAAACGUCUUGACUGCCGAAGCGUCAUUCUGAUACCUACCGACGAUCCAAAACCAUUACCACUCCUGUCCACGACGGCUUCUAUUAAGCUCCAAAGAGCCUUUUAGGUCCCCUGUUACAGUAUCACGACUGUAACCCCUGCUCAAAACUAUGAAGCCCUCUUCGGAUACUGAAAAUGUUGGACACGAAAACCCUAUUCGCUAAGCCGUAAUCAUCCUUCUGACUUUCUGUCAAUUACCCUUUUAAUAACCACACUAACUUAUUCAUCAAAGUACCAAGACUACAGACUACAUACUAAUCUCGUAAAAGAGAAUACCACAUGACUUAAUAAUUUCUAACACACACUUAACAAUUCUACGU
rnacentral:rRNA from 1 species